UACGUAGGGACCGAGCGUUGUCCGGAAUCAUUGGGCGUAAAGGGCGCGUAGGCGGCCUGUUAAGUCGAAACGUGAAAUCCCCAGGCUUAACCUGGGAACUGCAUUCGAGACUGCAUUGCUAGAGUAUGGGAGAGGGAAGUGGAAUUUCCGGUGUAGCGGUGAAAUGCGUAGAUAUCGGAAGGAACAUCAGUGGACGAAAGCGACUUCCUGGACCAAUACUGACGCUCAUGUGCGAAAGCGUGGGGAGC
rnacentral:rRNA from 1 species